UCUUAUCCAGAGUGGUGGAGGGACAUGGCCCUGCGAAACCCGGCAACCUUUAAGUGCAUGCAGCUUAAAAGGUGCUAAAUCCAUCAGGUAUCAUCCUGACAGAUAAGA
rnacentral:ncRNA from 1 species